rnacentral:rRNA from 1 species
CCUACGGGUGGCAGCAGUCGAGAAUCAUUCACAAUGGGGGAAACCCUGAUGGGGCGACGCCGCGUGGGGGAAUGAAGGUCUGCGGAGGGUAAACCCCUGGCAUGUGGGAGCAAAUUAAAAAGAUAGGACAACAAUAGGAAGAGACGGCUAACGCGGUGCCAGCAGCCGCGGGAAGACAGAGUUCUCAAUCGUUGUUCGGACUCACUGGGCGUAACGCGUGCGUAGGCUGUUUCAUAAGUCGUGUGUGAAAGGCCAGGGCUCAACCCGCGGACGGCACAUGUUACUGCGAGACUAGAGUAAUGGAGGGGGAACCGGAAUUCUCGGUGUAGCAGUGAAAUGCGUAGAUAUCGAGAGGAACACUCGUGGCGAAGGCGGGUUCCUGGACAUUACCUGACGCUGAGGCACGAAGGCCAGGGGAGCGAAAGGGAUUAGAUACCCUAGUAGUC